rnacentral:rRNA from 1 species
UACGUAGGGUGCAAGCGUUAAUCGGAAUUACUGGGCGUAAAGCGUGCGCAGGCGGUUUUGUAAGCCAGCGGUGAAAUCCCCGGGCUCAACCUGGGAACUGCCUUUGUGACUGCAAGGCUUGAGUGCGGCAGAGGGGGAUGGAAUUCCGCGUGUAGCAGUGAAAUGCGUAGAUAUGCGGAGGAACACCGAUGGCGAAGGCAAUCCCCUGGGCCUGCACUGACGCUCAUGCACGAAAGCGUGGGGAGCAAACAGG